UACGUAGGGCGCGAGCGUUUGUCCGGAAUCAUUGGGCGUAAAGAGCUCGUAGGCGGCUUGUCGCGUCGACUGUGAAAACCCGCGGCUCAACCGCGGGCCUGCAGCCGAUACGGGCAGGCUGGAGGUUCGGUAGGGGGAGACUGGAAUUCCUGGUGUAGCGGUGAAAUUCGUAGAUAUCGGGAGGAACACCAGUGGCGAAGGCGGCGAUCUGGACAGAUAUUGACGCUGAGGUGCGAAAGCGUGGGGAGCA
rnacentral:rRNA from 1 species